rnacentral:misc_RNA from 1 species
GAUGAAGAACGCAGCGAAAUGCGAUAAGUAAUGUGAAUUGCAGAAUUCAGUGAAUCAUCGAAUCUUUGAACGCACCUUGCGCCCUUUGGCCAUUCCGAAGGGCAUGCCUGUUUGAGUAUCAUGAACACCUCAACUCUUCAUGGUUUUCCAUGAUGAGCUUGGACUUUGGGGGUCUUGCUGGCCUGUGGGUCGGCUCCUCUCAAAUGAAUCAGCUUGCCGGUUUUUGGUGGGCAUCACAGGUGUGAUAACUAUCUACGCUUGUGGUUUUCCACCAGGGUAACCUUCAGCAGUGGAGGUUCACUGGAGCUUACAAAUGUCUCUCCUCUGUGAGGACAGCCCUUUGAAUGUUUGAUCUCAAAUCAGGUAGGACUACCCGCUGAACUUAAGCAUAUCAAUAAGCGGAGG